GAAGUAGGGUAGCUGUGAAAAUUAGAAGGGUAAGUAAGGUAAGUAAAUCAAUAUAAGGAGUAAAGUUUAGUAUUAGGUAAAGAUAGAAUUAAGUAAGCGUUAGUGAUAGUACCGUGAGGGAAGUUUGAAAUAAUUGAAAGAUGAAUUUAGUAUAAAGUAGAUGUUGUGUUGUACCUUUUGUAUCAGGGUUUAUUAAAUAUAGGAGAAGAAAUCUAAAAUCUCGAUGUAAGGAGGGCUAUCCCAUUAAAUUAAAUAAGGUGGUAAACUUAUUGGGCAUAGUGGGGUAGGAACGAAAAGUUAGUCGAUCCUUAUUGUUUCUAGUUUCUUAAGAAAUAAAUUAAAUUUAGGAAUAUUUGGAAUUUUGAGGAAUACCCUUGAAAUUUAAGAAUUUAUUCUACUGAUUCGGGGGAUAAGCUCUGGGUUACAAUUAAAACUGGGAAAUUUAAAGGAAAAUUUGUAGGCUUGAAAGUAGUCAUCAAUUAAGGAUGUUAUAAUUUAUUUUCUGAAAUUUUAAUUUUGUUGAGUUUAGGGAUUUAUUAAGAAACCAUUUUUAAUUAAUAAGAUGGGAUAUAAUGAUAAAAUUAGUAAAAAUAAAAGAAUAAAAUAUUAAUUUUAGUAAGGAACUCGGCAAAUAUAGUGCUCGCCUGUUUAUCAAAAACAUCGCCUUUUGAAGAAAUAGAAGGUCUAACCUGCCCACUGAAAAUUUAAAGGGCCGCGGUAUUUUGACCGUGCAAAGGUAGCAUAAUCAUUAGUCUUCUAAUUAAAGGCUGGAAUGAAUGGUUGGACGAGGUACUAGCUGUCUCACUAAAAUAAAUUUGAAUUUAGCUUUUUAGUCAAAAGGCUAAAAUGAAGUUGGAGGACGAGAAGACCCUAUAGAGCUUUACGUUGAAUUUUUUUUAAUUUGUUUUGUAAGAAUUUAAUUUUAAAACUUAAACGUUUCGUUGGGGUGACGGGAAGAUAAGGAAAACUCUUUCUAAUAUUUAACAUAGAUGAAUGAAUAAUUGAUCCAUUAUUAGUGAUUACAAGACUAAGUUACCUUAGGGAUAACAGCGUAAUCUUUUUUGAGAGUUCUAAUCGACAAAAAGGGUUGCGACCUCGAUGUUGGACUAAGGGUUAUUUUUGGGUGUAGCAGCUCAAAGUUUAGGUCUGUUCGACCUUUGAAUCCUUACAUGAUCUGAGUUCAGACCGGCGUAAGCCAGGUCGGUUUCUAUCCUCAAUUAAAGGAAAUAUUUUAGUACGAAAGGACCAAAUAUUUAAGAUAAUCUUAAGAAGUGAAUAAUAUUAACAA
rnacentral:rRNA from 1 species